GUAGAUAUAGUUUAUUAAAACACUAGACUGUGAAUCUAAAAAUAGAAGAUAAUUUCUUCUUAUCUACC
rnacentral:tRNA from 1 species